CGCAAUGGGCGAAAGCCUGACGGAGCAAUACCGCGUGAGGGAUGAAAGCCUGUGGGUUGUAAACCUCUUUUCUCAAGGAAGAAACUAUGACGGUACUUGAGGAAUAAGCAUCGGCUAACUCUGUGCCAGCAGCCGCGGUAAUACAGAGGAUGCAAGCGUUAUCCGGAAUCACUGGGCAUAAAGCGUCUGUAGGUUGCACAUCAAGUCUGCUGUUAAAGACUAGGGCCUAACCCUGGGAAAGCAGUGGAAACUAGUGCGCUUGAGUGUGGUAGAGGUAGAGGGAAUUCCUGGUGUAGCGGUGAAAUGCGUAGAUAUUAGGAAGAACACCAAUGGCGAAAGCACUCUACUGGGCCAUAACUGACACUGAGAGACGACAGCUA
rnacentral:rRNA from 1 species